CCUACGGGAGGCUGCAGUGGGGAAUAUUGCGCAAUGGGCGAAAGCCUGACGCAGCGACGCCGCGUGGGUGAUGAAGGCCUUCGGGUUGUAAAGCCCUGUCGGGUGGAACGAACGAUCUGGCGGCGAAUAACCGCCGGGUGUGACGGUACCACCGAAGGAAGCCCCGGCUAACUACGUGCCAGCAGCCGCGGUAAGACGUAGGGGGCGAGCGUUGUUCAGAUUUACUGGGGGUAAUAGGCGAGUCGGCUGUGAAAGCCCUCGGCUUAACCGAGGUCCCGCAUCCGAUACUGUCUGGCUCGAGUCGUGGAGAGGAAAGCGGAAUUCCCAGUGUAGCGGUGAAAUGCGUAGAUAUUGGGAGGAACACCGGUGGCGAAGGCGGCUUUCCGGACUAGUACUGACGCUGAGGCGCGAAAGCUAGGGGAGCGAACGGGAUUAGAUACCCCAGUAGUC
rnacentral:rRNA from 1 species